CAAGCCAACCACAGAAAAGCCAUCUCAGUUCGGAUUGUAGUCUGCAACCCGACUACAUGAAGCUGGAAUCGCUAGUAAUCGCAGAUCAGAAUGCUGCGGUGAAUACGUUCCCGGGUCUUGUACACACCGCCCGUCACACCAUGGGAGUUGGAAAUGCCCGAAGCCAGUGACCCAACCGUAAGGAGGGAGCUGUCGAAGGUGGAGCCGAUGACUGGGGUGAAGUCGUAACAAGGUAAC
rnacentral:rRNA from 1 species